rnacentral:rRNA from 1 species
CGGAUUGGAGUCUGCAACUCGACUCCAUGAAGCUGGAUUCGCUAGUAAUCGCGCAUCAGCCAUGGCGCGGUGAAUACGUUCCCGGGCCUUGUACACACCGCCCGUCAAGCCAUGGGAGUCGGGAGUGCCUGAAGUUCGUGACCGUCACAGGAGCGACCUAAGGCAAGACCGAUGACUGGGGCUAAGUCGUAACAAGGUACC